AUUGAACGCUGGCGGCAGGCCUAACACAUGCAAGUCGGACGGUAGCACAGAGGAGCUUGCUCCUCGGGUGACGAGUGGCGGACGGGUGAGUAAUGUCUGGGGAUCUGCCCGAUAGAGGGGGAUAACCACUGGAAACGGUGGCUAAUACCGCAUAACGUCGCAAGACCAAAGAGGGGGACCUUCGGGCCUCUCACUAUCGGAUGGACCCAGAUGGGAUUAGCUAGUAGGCGGGGUAACGGCCCACCUAGGCGACGAUCCCUAGCUGGUCUGAGAGGAUGACCAGCCUCACUGGAACUGAGACACGGUCCAGACUCCUACGGGAGGCAGCAGUGGGGAAUAUUGCACAAUGGGCGCAAGCCUGAUGCAGCCAUGCCGCGUGUAUGAAGAAGGCCUUCGGGUUGUAAAGUACUUUCAGCGGGGAGGAAGGCGAUGUGGUUAAUAACCGCAUUGAUUGACGUUACCCGCAGAAGAAGCACCGGCUAACUCCGUGCCAGCCGCCGCGGUAA
rnacentral:rRNA from 1 species